UAUAGAGGUAGAGCUACUGAUAGGGCUAGGGGGCUUCACCGCCUACCAAACCCUGACAAACUCCGAAUGCUAUAAUAUAUACUGAGCAGUGAGGGCAUGGGUGCUAAGGUCCAUGUCCGAGAGGGAAAGAACCCAGAUCAUCAGCUAAGGCCCCCAAAUGUAUGUUAAGUUGAUCAAACGUUGUGCGAUUGCAUAGACAGCUAGGAUGUUGGCUUGGAAGCAGCCAUUCAUUUAAAGAGUGCGUAACAGCUCACUAGUCGAGCGAUCGUGCGUGGAUAAUAAUCGGGCAUUAAACAUACUGCCGAAGCUAUGACAUCGAAAGAUGGGUAGGGGAGCAUUCUAUAUGCGUUGAAUGUGAGGGGUGACCUUCGCUGGAGCGUAUAGAAAAGCAAAUGUAGGAAUAAGUAACGAUAAAGCAGGCGAGAAACCUGCUCACCAAUAGACUAAGGUUUCCUUGGCGACGCUAAUCGUCCAAGGGUUAGUCGGGACCUAACGCGAACCCGAGAGGGGUAGUGGAUGGAUAAUGGGUUAAUAUUCCCAUACUUGGUAUAACUGCGAUGGGGUGACGGAGUGAUGAAAGAACCGCGUACUGACGGAAUAGUACGUU
rnacentral:rRNA from 1 species